CCGACAACCUUGCCGUCUGACUGUAAGUAAGACGUCCUGUCACUCUGGAGGGCCCUUUUUGAGCUGAGUCAUUGGAGAAAGCACACGCGCAACCGACCGACUGAACCGAUUGUCCAAAUUGUUUAAUUAGAAAUUGUAUUAGUGAAUAUUUAAAAUUGAAGUGAAUAUUUAGAAUUGUAGUAUUAAAUUGGAGGAAGACUUAACCUAACCCAAGUUGGCCAGCCGAGAACAAAGGCCUGCAACAAAUAUAAUAGCCACUGAAUUAUUGAAACAACGCAAAAUAUAGUUUCGAUACCAGUAGCUGCGCCUUUUCAAUUCGCUGCGCCAACAUCUUUCAAUAAUUCAACUGCACGUGCCGAUGGCAACGUCCGAGAAACGUCUAAAACCAGCGCUAGAGGAGCGGGAAGGUUGCACAUCUUGUGACGAUCCAGAUGCUGACCAGAAUUUUGUCCAAUGCGAUUCUUGUGAU